UACAGAGGUGACAAACGUUGUCCGGAAUUAUUGGGCGUAAAGGGCGCGUAGGUGGUUGAGUAGGUCAGGUGUGAAAGUCCUGGGCUUAACCUGGGGACUGCAUUUGAUACUGAUUGGCUUGAAUGCAGGAGAGGAUAGCGGAAUUCCCAGUGUAGAGGUGAAAUUCGUAGAUAUUGGGAAGAACACCGGUGGCGAAGGCGGCUAUCUGGACUGUGAUUGACGCUGAGGCGCGAAAGCGUGGGGAGCAAACAGG
rnacentral:rRNA from 1 species